rnacentral:rRNA from 1 species
UGGGGAAUAUUGGACAAUGGGCGCGAGCCUGAUCCAGCCAUGCCGCGUGUGUGAAGAAGGCCUUAUGGUUGUAAAGCACUUUUAAAGCGAGGAGGAGGCUACUUUAGUUAAUACCUAGAGAUAGUGGACGUUACUCGCAGAAUAAGCACCGGCUAACUCUAUGCCAGCAGCCGCGGUAAUACAGAGGGUGCAAGUGUUAAUCGGAUUUACUGGGCGUAAAGCGCGCGUAGGCGGCUAAUUAAGUCAAAUGUGAAAUCCCCGAGCUUAACUUGGGAAUUGCAUUCGAUACUGGUUAGCUAGAGUGUGGGAGAGGAUGGUAGAAUUCCAGGUGUAGCGGUGAAAUGCGUAGAGAUCUGGAGGAAUACCGAUGGCGAAGGCAGCCAUCUGGCCUAACACUGACGCUGAGGUGCGAAAGCAUGGGGAGCAAACAGGAUUAGAUACCCUGGUAGUCCAUGCCGUAAACGAUGUCUACUAGCCGUUGGGGCCUUUGAGGCUUUAGUGGCGCAGCUAACGCGAUAAGUGACCGCCUGGGGAGUACGGUCGCAAGACUAAAA